UCUACUACUAUAUGCAUUCAGCUUUUUUUGGCCUUAAAAAUGGAAGCUUAAAGAUUGCCAUUUUAUUAUAUUCCUUUUCAAAGAAUACCCUUAAUUUCUCGUGCAGAUUAUUAUUUAUCCCUUCCCCCCCUCUUCUGUCUAGCUACCAAAUAGGGUUACUUCAUCUAGCUCUAUUCACUACAUACAAACUAUACAAAAAGUUGAACUCUCUCUUUCAGCAAAAAGGAAACUCAAAUAUUAUACUCAACGAAAAGAUAGAUUUUACUCCACGAGAUCCAAGCUUGACUUUCAGCUGUCCAUCGCAAUAAUCGAGUCAAAAUAUAAAUAUGCGCUGAAAGUUAAAAAAAGAAAAUAAUUUGGGCAGGGAAAAGAAAGGUUUGACCGAAGAGUUCGAGAACAUUGGCACGGAAACUUGAGGUUUUUGUAGGGAUACUUUCUCUUUCCUUUGGUUAAAUGGCAGCAGCCAGAUCGUGAAAGGGAUAAGGAAAAAAAAGAGGUAGUAAAGAGAAAACAAAGAAACAAAAGAAGAGAAGUUGUUUGUGCAAACUAGCUAUAAUACUUGUGAAUGGCUUCAUCUUCAUUAUUAUCCUACUCACCCUGUGCAGCAUGUAAAUUCCUACGUCGAAAAUGCCAGCCAGAAUGCGUGUUUGCCCCUUACUUCCCACCAGAUCAACCCCAGAAAUUUGCAAAUGUUCACAAAAUAUUUGGAGCCAGC